UACGUAGGAUGCGAGCGUUGUCCGGAAUUAUUGGGCGUAAAGAGCUCGUAGGCGGUGUGUCACGUCGGCCGUGAAAACCUGCAGCUUAACUGUGGGCGUGCGGUCGAUACGGGCAUCACUGGAGUUCGGCAGGGGAGGACUGGAAUUCCUGGUGUAGCGGUGAAAUGCGCAGAUAUCAGGAGGAACACCGGUGGCGAAGGCGGGUCUCUGGGCCGAUACUGACGCUGGAGGAGCGAAAGCAUGGGUAGCGAACAGG
rnacentral:rRNA from 1 species